UGCGGAAGGAUCAUUACAUACCGGUUUACCGGCUGAGGGGGCUUUAGGCAUGAAAACUGUCGCGGAGCCCCUGUCUCCAUCCUUGUCUUUUGCGCACUUAUGUUUCCUUGGUAGGGCAACCUGCCAAUGGGAGAACUUAAACUCUUUAAUUUUAUAUCAGCGUCUGAAAAAUAUAACAAUUACAACUUUCAACAACGGAUCUCUUGGUUCUGGCAUCGAUGAAGAACGCAGCGAAAUGCGAUAAGUAGUGUGAAUUGCAGAAUUCAGUGAAUCAUCGAAUCUUUGAACGCACAUUGCGCCCCUUGGUAUUCCAUGGGGCAUGCCUGUUCGAGCGUCAUUUGUACUCUCAAGCUUUGCUUGGUGUUGGGUGCUGUCUAGCUACUAGACUUGCCUUAAAAGAAUUGGCAGCCAGGUAUUUUGGUCUUUUGCGCAGCACAAUUUGCGCUUUAACCAGCUAUCUCUGGCAUCCAGAAGCCUUUUACAACGCUUGACCUCGGAUCAGGUAGGGAUACCCGCUGAACUUAAGCAUAUCAAUAAGCGGAGG
rnacentral:rRNA from 1 species